GGACACCUGAACAUGUCCUUGUGUCCAGUCGUGGAGCUACUGGCUGACAUUGUGCAGAACUGCAGCCUGGAAGACUCCCAGAUUGAAAAGGAACGAGACGUGAUCCUGCGGGAAAUGCAGGAGAAUGAUGCAUCUUUGCGGGAUGUGGUCUUUGACUACUUGCAUGCAACAGCGUUCCAAGGCACACCUUUAGCCCAGGCUGUGGAAGGGCCCAGUGAGAAUGUCAGGUGAGAACUGACUCUGUGUUGUUUAUUUUCCUAAUUUUCUGCAAUUGGAGACAGUUUCUGUAUUGCCAUAUGGUCCCUGUGAACCUAUUUAAAUGGCUGUGUGGUCUUCACUUCAAUCUUGGGCUUUGUUUUAGGGUAUGUUUCCAUGUAUGCCCUUAUAAUCUAAGGAGGGAACAUUUGGCUUGCAGGUGGGAGGUGUUUGAGAGCUCUGACCCUGCCCCUCGAGUCACACAGCGUCAGCUCACACCUCAGAGAGGGCUGUGAGACUGUCCUGAGGGCACAUGUGAGGCAGGGCCAGAUGAGGGCUCCACUCUGGGCCUUGAAAGGGUGGUUGGUAGAGAUGAAGAUGUAAUAGGGCCUCUUCAGAGAGGCCAUGUCUCUUCUCAAUUCCAUUAUAUCCAAGUUGCUAUGGAUUGGUAGAGAACUUGAUCCAUAUGGGCUGUAUGUUUUAUAGGAAAUUGUCUCGUGCAGACUUGACUGAGUAUCUAAGCAGGCAUUACAAGGCCCCUCGCAUGGUGCUGGCAGCAGCAGGAGGUGAGUGAUGGGCUCCUUGAAGCUCUGGGUAAGUGGAGCCUGGCCUUUGUAGUCAGAACCCCCAUUUUCACUCCAAGGGACCUUGUUCCUGUCCUUGAGGGGAAUGAUCUCUCUCCUUUGCUUUCAAGAUAGGGUAGAAUUCUGCCCUUCUGCCAUUACUAGGACUAGCCACACAGGUACACUCCUCAUCUAAUACAUGCCUCAGUUGGACUAAUGGCCCCUCCCUAGGGCGCAGGCCUCUCUUUGUCCCCCCUGGUGCUAGGAUAACUAGUUCGUGGCUGUUGAGGGACAUAAGCUCCUGGGUAGGCCUUGCCAUUCAUUGCCAUUGGUUGAACCAGACAUUGGGUAUGUGAUGAUGCAUAUACAUGAUGAGUUGGGAAGCACAUUGAAGGCACAAAAUGUUAGGGGAGUUCAGAGUUAGUUAUAGUGGGGACAGGUGAAGCAUGAGUCUUUUGCCAGAGGCCCGAAGGAUGGUAGGUAUUUAUUUGUUAGGUGGGGAAUGGAGGACCUUGGCAGAGGUGUCAUGUUCUGGUAAUUUAUUUUAAGAUUUGUUCUACUGAGUGGGGCCAGAGCAGAGCAGGCUAACUAGGGAUGAGGUGUGGCACAUGCCUGGAGAGAGAGAGCAGGAGCUAAGGAGAGACUUAGGUUUUCUAGACUUAAGUUCUGUAGUUGAAAACCUCAUACAGAUCUGGAUGUGGGUAGAGGAGGAGGUUCAAAAUGCUUCCUGCUUAUGGUCUUGGCAACUGGGUAGGUGAAAAAGACUGAUAGGAAGAGCAUAACUGAGGGAUUUAGAGCCAGGACACCUGGGACCAAGGGCAGUGUGAGCUACUAACACAGACUUUUCGAGUGAUAGCAGAACUGGGACAGGCUGUCCACUGCCAUAGUGAUUACUGGUUAAAUCACUGGGGCAGCAGAGGCCUCUUGUGGAACUGAGGAGGUGAGACCUGGAAAGGAGUCCUGAGGGUAUAAGUUUGUGAUGCUCCUUGUAAGUGUUCUCAGCUCUCAGGGACACCAGAAUUCAUUAUAGCCCUGCAAUAGCACCUCUUUGUGCCUCUCACUUGCCACUGCUUUCAUGACCAGCACCCAGAUCUGCUUGUAGUAGGGCUUGAGGGACAAGGCAUCCCCGUGACCUUAUUCCCAGGAGCACCAGUCUUGUUCUUGAUACAGGUGAGAUGAUGCUUCUAGGAUGAGAAUCGGCACUUACGUCACAUAGCAGCAUUCUCCACCUUUUUUUUUUUGUAUCAGGGAUUGAGCCCAGAGGCACUUAAGCAUUGAGCCAUAUCCCCAGCCCUUUUUUAUUUUUUAUUUUAAGGUAGGAUCUUGCUGAGGCUGUAGUCCUCCUGCCUCAGCCUCCCAAGCUGCUGGAAUUACAGGUGUGUGCCCGGGUCAUGGCAGCCCUUUUUUUGGGGGUGGGGGUUACUGCGGAUUGUACUCAGGGACACUCAACCACUGAGCCAUAUCCCCAGCCCUGUUUUGUGUUUUAUUUUGAGUUGCUUAAUGCCUCACAAUUGCUGAGGCUGGCUUUGAACUCACGACCCUUCUGCCUCAGCCUUCCAUGCAGCUGGGAUUACAGGCAUGUGCCCCCAUAUCUGGCCUUUUUUGUUUGUUUGUUUGUUUGUUUGUUUGUUUUAAUAUAUAUUUUUAGCUAUAGGUGGACACAAUACCCUUAUUUUAUUUUUAUGUGGUGCUGAGGAUUGAACCUAGUUCCUCCCGCAUGCUAGGCAAGUGCUCUACCCAGUUCCAUGGCUGCCCAUUUUUAAAGUGCUGUUUUUGCUAGGCAUGGUGUUACAGUAUCUCAGGAGACUAAGGUAGGAGGAUCAUGAGUUCAAAGCCAGCCUCAGCUACUUAGAAAGACCCUGUCUCUAAAACAAAAUAUACAAAAGGACUGGGGAUGUAAUUCAGUGAUUAAGCGCUGCUGGGUUCAAUCCCAAGUACAAAAAAAAAAAAAAAAUGCUGCUUUUCUCUUUUGCCUGACACCAUGGGAACUAUUUGAUCCUGAAGUGUCUUUCUUGCCUGUGAGAUAGGGUCAUUUGGCAGAUGCUCCUCUUCCCUCAUCUUAUCUCAAUGUUGUAUUUUCCUUCUGCUGUCUCCCACUGAGACAGGACAUAGGGUCUUGCACCUGUCUGUGAUUCCCCCUGGCUAGCCAGUAACUCCAUUGCCCAUGUCCUCAGGAGUGGAGCAUCGUCAACUGCUAGACCUCGCCCAGAAGCACUUCAGCAGCGUCUCUGCGACAUACCCAGAUGACACCGUGCCUACUCUAAGUCCGUGCCGCUUCACUGGAAGCGAGGUGUGCUGCCUGGUGGGCAGGGAUGCUGUUGUCAACUGGGGAUUUUGAGAGAACCCUCAUAUGCAUGUGACCCCAUAAUGACUCAGAAGUAGGGAAAGGGUCUUGUGCCUGUUGCCUGAGGAUGAUUUUACACAUAUGUGCAUGCUUCACCCACACCAGCCAUCCUUUCUGUUUGUCCUGGAAGUCUGGCUAUACUGUUCCUCAGCCCUUGACAUGUACUCUUUCAGAUUCGCCACCGUGAUGAUGCCCUGCCCUUGGCCCAUGUGGCCAUUGCAGUAGAGGGACCUGGUUGGUCCAACCCAGACAAUGUGGCCCUCCAAGUGGCCAAUGCCAUAAUUGGCCAUUAUGACUGCACUUACGGUGGUGGCGUGGUAAGUGUCAGGAUUGAGCAUAGGACCUUGCCUUUAAAGAAGAGAGUACUGCCGGGUGCAUGCCUGUAAUCCCAGCAGCUUGGGAGGCUGAGAUGGGAGGAUCGCAAAUUCAAAGCCAGCCUCAGCGAAAAAAUCAAGGCACUAAACAACCCAGAGCAUGUCUCUAAAUAAAAUACAAAAAAAAAAAAAAAUGGGGAUGUGGCUCAGUGGUUGAGUGCUUCUGAGUUCAAUCCCUGGUACACCACCCCGCCCCCCACCCCCCCCAAAAAAAAGGAAAGAAAAGGGAGUACUAAGCUGUGGGUUUCAGGGUAUAUGGGCCAGAGAUAAGAGGGGGUGCUAACCAUUUGUGCCCCUGGCAGCACCUGUCCAGCCCACUGGCUUCAGUUGCUGUGGCCAACAAGCUGUGCCAGAGUUUCCAGACCUUCAAUAUCUGCUAUGCAGAGACUGGGUUGUUGGGUGCACACUUCGUCUGUGACCGUAUGAGCAUCGAUGACAUGAUAUUCUUCCUGCAGGGCCAGUGGUGAGUGGCAGCUGGGAACUACUGGGUGGGAUAGAAAUCUGACCAGAGAGGUGGGAGGUUAAGAGUCAACGCACUUGUCACAAUGAACACUACCAUAUACCUGUCCUUUACUCCCUGCUUUAGGAUGCGCCUGUGUACCAGUGCCACGGAAAGUGAGGUUACUCGGGGCAAAAACAUCCUAAGAAAUGCCCUGGUAUCUCAUCUGGAUGGUGAGCCCUUUAUCCCUAAAGGAAGGGGUAGAAUAGUGCAUCCUGGCAGUGACAGCUCAUUGUAGCCAUUAUUACAAACCAAGAUUGGAAAAGAAAACGUUGAAGGUCAUGCCAUGCUCCACCACCCCAACUAUAGGGGUUUGAAGCUUUAGGUAGACAUGGGGGUAGCCCAUCACUGUGGAAAUAGGUUGUUAGAAAAGUGAUGGUUGUGGUCUGGAGUCAGAGCAAGGUCUUUGUUAACCUGAUGCCAGGGAUUUUAUGUGUAUAUGUGGGUUCAAGAUUGGACUGGGUAGAUCUCUAAGCUUUCCCCACCAUUAAAGGCACCACUCCUGUGUGUGAGGAUAUUGGACGCAGCCUCCUGACAUAUGGCCGCCGCAUCCCCCUGGCUGAGUGGGAGAGCCGGAUUGCGGUAACAUGGGCCCCUGGGAGAGGUUCUGGAGUCUUGGCCUAGCAGAACCCUGAAAGGGGGUGGGAUGUUGAUGCCUGACGGGAGACUGUUCCCAUAGGCAUCUCUAUUGUCCUAGGUAGCUGUCACCCAUAGGGAUGAUGUAGUCAGAAGGAAGGGCAAAGGCACUAAUGACUGUAGGGAUAGGUGAUGUCCAUGGAUGUCUACAGUAGGGAAAACCUUGCCACCCUUUUUGGAUGAGGGAAAUGUUCCACAGUACAUGUGGGAGAUCUUGGUCAGCUGGAGGAGGCUGGCUGACUGAGGUGGUGCCCAGUGCCUAUUAGUCAGUUUGUCCUCUGCCUCUCCCUGCAGGAGGUGGAUGCCCAUGUGGUGCGUGAGGUCUGCUCCAAGUAUUUCUAUGACCAGUGUCCAGCAGUGGCUGGAAUGGGUGAGUGGUCUAGAAAGUCUGCUUUUUGUCCUUUUCCUCAGAUCCUUGUCCUAGUCUCCCCUUCCACUUCUGCUCCCCUACCUCCAGCCUACAUUGAGAGAAGCAGUUUGAGGCCCCUGAGAGUAGUGUGGCUGCCAGGGAGUUCUUGCUCAGAAAACCUGUCCCAGCAGCUCCCUGACUCCCUGCCAAGGUGUCUUCAUCAAUAUCCCUUACCCACCGGGUAACGGACACCCUGUUUGUUGGGUGGGGCUCUAAGGGCCUGAGCAAGAAAGGACAGGCUCUGCACCCCUAGGGGAAUGUUGUCUUCCCUCUCUUCACUGAAAGCCUGUCUUGUGCUUCUCUGGGCAGCAGCUCUGAGCUGGGUAUGGCACAGGGCCAGGUGUCCCUGUACAGAACAGGUACCCCACCCUGACACCUCACCCUAUCCCCACAGGCCCAAUCGAGCAGCUCCCUGACUACAACCGGAUCCGUAGUGGCAUGUUCUGGCUGCGCUUCUAGCAAGAUGCCUGUGCAGGCAAGAGGGUAGGAUCGGGGCUCAUGAUCCCCCUCUACAAACAUGCCACUCUGGCACCUCAAACCCAUGCAAUAGAUACCACCAAUAAAGUCCUCUGUUGAGAAUUGUGUUGUACUUCCUUUAUUGGCAUG
rnacentral:lncRNA from 1 species